UGGAAAGGAACGAAAGUUCAUGGAAGCGUAUGGCAGUCGCACAUUUUUUUGUAAACAAAUCGAUCCUUUCACGUGUGAGUAACAUUCUCAAAAGAUUACUUUUCUGGUGGUUAUUUUUUUCGAGUCAUUCCUACAAAUUUUCCUCUAGAAAACUCCAUUGAAGGUACCAAAGUAAUUACUGAGUGAAUAAUAGCAAAACAAACAAUAAAAUUAAAUUAUGUUAAGAGCCCAAAGCCUUAUCUGCUUGUCUUCUUCUUCUUCUUCGAGCUCAUCUACCAUUCUCGAGGUUCAGGCGAGGAAUUCUCGAGUUGUUCCUUCGAAUUGAUUCCGGUUCUGAACAAUCUAAUCAUGGCAAUGCAUUCCCAUUGAGCAAACCAGCUAGUACAUAGCAGGUAUUGUUCGUUUAGGAAAAAAUUAAGCUUUAAGCUCGCCAUCGAUUCUCCGAGCCCACUCGCCUCUCUCGCCUCUCGGGUUGAAUCGAACACGUAUCAUGAACGCUUCAUUUUGCUGUAAUAACAUUCAACAACAUCCACAACUCUUUAAAGUUCAACACCCAAGCUCCUCCCUGAGGGGAAGAAACCCUAUUCAAUGGUCAUCUGCUGUUAUUCAGACGGCGGAGAGCGAAGUGGCAACUGAGGAAGCUGCGUCCCAAUCGGAAUCUGUUGCUCGUCGCCUUAUUCUGCUUCGUCAUGCUAGGAGUUCACGGCAAAAACUGUCAGUGCGAGAUCAUGAUCGCCCCUUGAGUAAAGAUGGAAAAGUUGAUGCUAUUAAAAUUGCUCAUAAACUCCAAGAAUUGAGUUGGAUCCCUGAACUUAUUUUAUCCAGUGAUGCCAAGCGAACCAGAGAAACACUUAAGCUAAUGCAGGAGCAAGUUAGUGGUUUUUUGGAAGCAGAGGUUCAUUUCAUUUCCAGUUUUUAUUCUAUCGCUGCCAUGGAUGGUCAGACUGCGGAUCACCUUCAGCAGGUUAUCUGUAACUAUUCAAGGAAUGAGAUAGUUACAGUCAUGUUGGAGGUUGGAUCUUCCAUCCCUUCAGUUAUUGUACAGAAAAGAACGGAAAAGAAAAAGAGCAAGUAGAAAGGGAGAAGGGGAACUGUUGUCACUGUCAUCCUUAAUUUUGAGUUUGUUUUGCUAAUACAUAAUUUUCUAAUAGGUUAGGUCACAGAAUGUUUUCUAUACUUGUUGUUAUUGUAUAGACUAUUCAAUACUGCAUUUUUAGUCUUCUCUCAUGUCAGCACUCCUUCAUUUUAAGAAUGAAAUUUAGCGUAGAAAUCUUCCAACAAAAUCAAUAUUUUUUGUUCAAACCUCCAAAAAAACAUGUGUCGUGGUUUCUAACAAGGAAUAAUGAAAUAAUAGGGGAAAUAGUAAGACAACAAUGAUUUUUAUGCAGGUGUAUGGGACAUAAUAAAGGGUGGGAAGAGGCAGCCUCAAUGUUCAGUGGUUCCUCCAUAAAACUGAAGACAUGUAAUGCUGCUUUGCUUGAGGCUUCAGGAAAAUCAUGGGAUGAGGCAUUUGCUUUGGCGGGACUAGGUGGAUGGAAGCUUCAUGGCAUAGUAAAACCAAAUAGUAGAUCGUAGAACAUUUUAUAGUUUUCUAGAAAAGUUUAGCAAAUUAUAGUAACCACUUGUAGUACUCGAAUUCACCCUUAGAAUGCUCAUUUAUCUAUAUAUGAUAACUUCAAUGAAAUUUCGACUUCUUGUCUUUUAAA